GACUCACACAAGAGUUGCCCGUCUUGGUGAAGGCGAUGUCACCAGUGUAGGUGGCGCCGUCCUCGCGGAGCCUGCAAAUGUCGUCUGCGCAAAACAGAAAAUAGUGUGGAGACUUUGAGUCACGUGCUGUGACUUGGCUUGACAGUGGAACAAGGAAUGGGGGAAGAUGAUUUAAAUUAACUGUCGCCGGCCAGCACUUUCACAGAGAGACACAGCGAGUGCAGAGACACCACGUGUGGAAGAUGAAUACCGCCAUUUCCUAGAAAGUUCGAUAUCAGCUGGAAUCAAUGGAACAAUGACAGAAGAGAAAAAAUACUGUGAAGUUGCAGACUGUAAUGUCGACACCAUCGACCACUGCUCCAGGUGGGGAAAAACGAAUUCGGACUUUGUCGCCGAACGGCCUCUGUGGGCAAGAGAAGUGGGCGGUUGGUCGAGGGUCGAGUACCUUUUUGCAGACCCACUCUCUGGAGAGACGAAGGACGUCCACAUUUGUGGUUACAUUAAUGUUUGUCGCUGCAAAGGAUCAGAUCGACUCACAGUUUGUCAAGGUGAAAACAACGGCAGCGACCUCCACCGACCGGUUGAGAAGCAGGGUCAGAGUGCACGUCGAUGACAUCAAAUAACACCCAUCACCUGUGCUUUGAAUUCCUGCACUCCCA